rnacentral:lncRNA from 1 species
AGAUUGUCAAAAAUUAAAAUGACGUCAAAAUGCUCCAUGACAUUAAUUGUUCAUUCAUGAACCAUAGCAUGCAUAUUAUUUAAACCAAAAGUCCACUCACAAAUUUGGCCUAAGCCUGAUGUCGAUCUGGGGCCUCGUUUGCUCGAGCCUCCUCACGUCCUGUUCCAAAUAUAAUAUUAAUUUCCCAACCAAUAAUCCAAUAUUAAAUCAAAAUAGGCAAAAUUACCCGAGAGCCAUAAAUACGCUCAUCAUUGCCUAACUUCGAUAUUCUUAAACCGGAAUGAUCCGAACUUAAAUAUCAUACUCAACAGUCGUAAAUACAACUUCUCCAAAAUACGACUUAAAUCCUACGGCUGGAUUCUACAUUAAUUAACCGCCAAAAAUACCAAACUUCGGAAAUUCACAAACCUAUCCAAAUCUUAUCCAAAAAUUCCAUAAAUCACCUCAAUAUGCUCCUCUUAAUAUUCCACACUUAAAACCCUAAAAAUCUCCUAACCGGCGGCGGCUCCGCCGGCAGCGGCGGCCGGAGGCCAAUUCCGGCAACCUCCAAAACCUAUGAAAUUUUGACAGAAUAAUCCUCUCAUCAUGCUCUACAACUUUCCUAACUAGCACAAACACCAAUUCCAAGCCUAACUAGGGCAAUCGACUAAAAACAUCAAAAACACCAUAAAACUUCCACCUCAAAUUUCUCCUUACCUAGCUCAAGAGGGAGUGAGUCCUUUUAGGGCAAGACUGCUGGAUUGGAGGGCUACAAAACCGUACCAAGCUUCUCGGCGUUUCCGACGGGUUUUCUCCUCUUCCGGCGGGUUAGAGGCUCGGGAGCUAGGCCGGGGAGGGAGAGGAGGAGAUGGGGGUCCGAACUGGGGUGGAGCGGCGGCCGGUGGCUGGCCUGACGGCGGCAGACGGUGGCUGGACGAUCCGGCGGAGAAGGGCGCGGGAGAGCUCGGGGAAAAGAGGGAAGGGAGAAAGAGAGAAGAAAAAAAGAAAUGGGUCUCCCCCCUAAACCGGUCCACCCUCUCUUAAGCCCAUCUACAAAAAAAUAAAACAACCCCGAAAAAUAAUAC